UACCAGCACCCCGAGUGGUCGGGACGUUUUAUUGGGCCUAAAGCAUCCGUAGCCGGUUCUGCAAGUCUUCCGUUAAAUCCACCUGCUUAACAGAUGGGCCGCGGAAGAUACUAUAGAGCUAGGAGGCGGGAGAGGCAAGCGGUACUCGAUGGGUAGGGGUAAAAUCCGUUGAUCCAUUGAAGACCACCAGUGGCGAAGGCGGCUUGCCAGAGCGCGCUCGACGGUGAGGGAUGAAAGCUGGGGGAGCAAACCGGG
rnacentral:rRNA from 1 species